rnacentral:rRNA from 1 species
GAUGAACGCUGGCGGCGUGCCUGAUACAUGCAAGUCGAGCGAACGGACGAGAAGCUUGCUUCUCUGAUGUUAGCGGCGGACGGGUGAGUAACACGUGGAUAACCUACCUAUAAGACUGGGAUAACUUCGGGAAACCGGAGCUAAUACCGGAUAAUAUUUUGAACCGCAUGGUUCAAAAGUGAAAGACGGUCUUGCUGUCACUUAUAGAUGGAUCCGCGCUGCAUUAGCUAGUUGGUAAGGUAACGGCUUACCAAGGCAACGAUGCAUAGCCGACCUGAGAGGGUGAUCGGCCACACUGGAACUGAGACACGGUCCAGACUCCUACGGGAGGCAGCAGUAGGGAAUCUUCCGCAAUGGGCGAAAGCCUGACGGAGCAACGCCGCGUGAGUGAUGAAGGUCUUCGGAUCGUAAAACUCUGUUAUUAGGGAAGAACAUAUGUGUAAGUAACUGUGCUCAUCUUGACGGUACCUAAUCAGAAAGCCACGGCUAACUACGUG